GGGAAGCGGUUUCCAAGUGGUCGGUGGGUGACUGGAUGGGUCUAGAACCUGGAAGAUGGCCUGCCACCCGCAGCUCCUCAGCUGAGCCCCUGGAGUCUUGUCUUUGUGGAGGGAGGCAGGAUCAAGGGGCUCCAGUGUCCUCCCUUCCCCCACCCACGUGGGCUUUGUGAACUUGAGGAGGACAAGAGUGGGCCGAGUGGCUCCGGGGAGGAUCGGCUUAUACAGCCAAACUCCCCACUGCCCCACAUUGUUGGCUUCUGCGGAGGGAGGGGCAGAGAGAGAGGGACUCUCCUCGCACAAGAGACGUUCUGAGACCACACAGAGGGCUGGAAGCAGUCAGCAGCCGCCAUUUUCAGGAUUUUGGUCACAUCUGUGUACACCUCUACAUUCAUUUACUUUUGUUUGCUCCAUUGUGUGCGUGUGUUGAUUUUUUUCCCCUCCACUAGGUAUUACGAUCACGUCCGUCCAAGGGCAAAAAGAGAUUAAAAGAGGAAUUAAAUCUUGGCUGACAGUCUGAUGCUGCAGGACAUGGUGCACCUUCAAUAGCUCUCAGAGUUCGUCAGUGAUUUGGUUUCCCCGUCAAUUCUGAGAAUUCAGUUACAGGGUGCAAGUAUGAGGACCAGUCUUUAACUCCAACACCAAGAAAGCAAAGCAAGCAUCCAUGGAACUCCUUCACCUGUGCACGGUCCAGAUGGGGCAAUGUGUAACCUGGAGUGUCUCACAACGGUGUGUUGGAAGCUUGGUUCCUGGCCCAGCUGUUAAUGGGAAUAGUGGUACCAUUAGGAGGUGGUACCUAGUGGGCCAUUAGGAUGAGCCCUUAGAGGGGACAUUGGCCUUCUUCCUCUCUCUUUCUGGGCUACCAAGAGGCGACCAGCUUCUUUUGUCAAGCACUCUCGAUAUAAUGUGAUGCUUCAUGCCUAACCACGGGACCACGCACGGAAAUCCCUGACAUCAUAAAACCAGGGAUCGUGAGCAUUCAUCCCUGAAGUCAUAAACCAAAGGAAGCUCUUCUUCCUUUACAUUGACUUGCCUCAGAGCCUCUGUCACAGCCACGAAAAGCUAACCCAGGUGGUAAGUGUCUGCUCUGCGUUUUCAUCAGUAGUUUUUAAAUCUUGUCCUUGGGCUCCCUCCCUGGUGGCUACUUCCAUCUGAAACACAAGCCCUUCCUGUCCUUCAAGUCCCUGCUCAAGGGUUUGCUCUUCAGAGAAGGUUGGAGAAGGGCUGAUCUGAAGAAAGUCCACCCUUCAGCCGUGAGCUCUUGCUCUGCCCACUAGGACACUUGCUGCUUCCUGGGAAUACCCUGGCUGUUCACUUGGUGUGCUUCUUUGCUUUAAGGCUACCUGCCCCUGCCAGAAUGUCAACUCUGUGAAAAGAAUAACUCUGUCUUGCUAAUGGCUGCUUCCCCAGUGACAAAGGGAGGCUUAACAGAUGAAGAAGGAAGGGACAAAGGCUUUCCUCUGAGUGUCUUGUGGCUCUGCUGCCCUUGUGUUGGCACAGGCAGCAACUUUCCAGGACCAACGGUGUCAGGACAGUCAAUAUGACAGCAGUAAAGUUAUAUCAGUACUGCAUCAUCCUUCAGGCCUUGGGGAAGAAAGGACAUCAUUGGGAGCCUCUCAAGGUUGCCAGUCAUUGGGUCUGUCAGGGUCAUGUGACUUUCACCAAAUCAAUCCCUGUGAGCAGGGAUACAGUGCCCUCUGGCUG